UACAGAGGGGGCAAGCGUUGUUCGGAAUUACUGGGCGUAAAGGGCGCGUAGGCGGCCACCGCAAGUCGACUGUGAAAUCUCCGGGCUUAACCCGGAAAGGUCAGCCGAUACUGCGGGGCUAGAGUGCAGAAGGGGCAACUGGAAUUCUCGGUGUAGCGGUGAAAUGCGUUGAUAUCAUCAGGAACACCGGAGGCGAAGGCGGCUCACUGGGUCUUUCCUGACGCUGAGGAACGAAAGC
rnacentral:rRNA from 1 species